rnacentral:rRNA from 1 species
UACGGAGGGUCCAAGCGUUAUCCGGAAUCAUUGGGUUUAAAGGGUCCGUAGGCGGUUUAGUAAGUCAGUGGUGAAAGCCCAUCGCUCAACGGUGGAACGGCCAUUGAUACUGCUAAACUUGAAUUGUUGGGAAGUAACUAGAAUAUGUAGUGUAGCGGUGAAAUGCUUAGAUAUUACAUGGAAUACCAAUUGCGAAGGCAGGUUACUAUCAACACAUUGACGCUGAUGGACGAAAGCGUGGGUAGCGAACAGG